rnacentral:lncRNA from 1 species
UGGAAAUUUGAGUUAAAAGUUCUGAAGAGUGCAUAUCAAAGUAUGUUAAGUUCUCACAAAUGGGGUCUUGUGAUUGUCACUGCAAGCUUUGAUGGACGCAUUCGAACCUACCUCAAUUACGGGUUGCCAAUUCGAGUAUAAGAACCUCUCCAUCCCUAAAGAUACAGCAACACAACACAUAUACGAAUAUAGGUAUAACUGUGCGGUCUGGUUUUAAACACAUACAUGUCUUUGAACACUCAUGCAAGCUUUGAUGGACGCAUUCGAACCUACCUCAAUUAUGGGUUACCAAUUCGAGUAUAAGAACCUCUCCGUCCCUAAAGAUACAGCAACACAACACAUAUACGAAUAUAGGUAUAACUGUGCCGUCUGGUUUUAAGCACAUGCAUGUCUUUGAACACUCAUUUUCGAAUUCGAGUAACAUAUAAUAGGUUAAAAUGGG